rnacentral:lncRNA from 1 species
UACAGGGCUUUUGAACAGAAUGGAACCUAUUGCAAGCACCAUCGUUUGGUAGACCUUCCGGCAAAGGAGAAGAUCAAACAGCCAAGGGUUUGUUAAGAAUGUUGUAACUAUCUUGAGCAACGUACUCUCUAAGCUGAAAAAACCUGGCCUGAGAAAAAAGAUAGGAGUAGUAGUAGUUAAUAUGGUAUGCGGAUGAGCAGAAUGUAGUUUACAUAAUCAUUCUUUUAUUUUUUUCAAUGCUAGUAAAUUUACCUUAUUGAAUCAUCAAUGUUUCCCAACUAUUUAUUGUUGAAUUCCCAAAUUUGGAGCAAGAAGCAUACUGUACAUAUUUCUGAUGAUUAUGAUCAACAAUUCACUUAAUACAUUUCAUACAGCAGAUGGAAAUUCAUUGUGGAAUGAAAAAGUAAUUUUUUCCUUUGAUAAGUAUCUGUUCUCUUUCAUUUUUCCCUUCAACCCAACCCGUGUUCAUGAAUGUCAUAGAACAGGUAAAAAGAAUUCUGCAAACUUGCCAAGUUCGCUUAAAUAGAUAAAAGAAACAUGACAAAUUACCGAGUGUUAUAACUAGUGUGUUGCGUCAAAAAAUGAAAGUGAAAUAUGUUCGACUUGAAGAAGAAACCAGCUAACAUCAUGAUAACAUAUCCCACUUAUUAUUUCACCACAUAGGUACUCACACUCCCAUAGGGAAUACAUACUCGUUAAUGACUCAAUUUAAUACAUAGCUUCACCUAAUAUUGAACCUUUUAGUUUUGUUCUUGGAUUCAAUUGCUUCCAAAGUGUAAUGUCACACUCCCAUAUGGAAUACAUACUCGUUGAUCGACUCAAUUUAAUAUAGCCUAAUAUUGAACUUUUUAGAGUUAUUCACCUAAUAUUGAUCCUCUUAGUCUUGUUCUUGGAUUCAAUUGCAACAAAUGUGUAAUGAGCUGUAAAGUGAUCCUGAAAUCAGUUCAUAGGACUGAGUACACCUUAUAGUUAACAUUUGGAAGUACUAAGGUAAUCUUAUGCUUUAUAGCAACUGUGUAUUUUACAAUUCAGGCAGUGAAGCAAUGUAUGACUAUAGAAAAAAGAAGAGAGAAAGAUACUCGAGGUUUACCUCAUUAAGCCUUUUCUGGAUCUUACAAAGUUCACAAAACUGCUAACACCAAAAUUAACCAUCUUCCUCCAAAAGCAAAUUCGUGAAUUUGAAGUUACUUCCACAGCCGGCAAGGGAUUGAAUUCUCAUUAGGAAGUUAUGAGUGUAUCACUUGAGCUAGCUUGGUACCAUUAACAUCAAUCUUACCACAUUUGUAAAACAUCCAGUUAGUUAAGCCCCAUGUAAUUAAAAGGAAUGGAAAUCGUCAUAUAGAAAUGAGCAUGAAUCUUUAACUAUUCGUAAAUAGAACUUUAUCCACUAAACUAAAGAUGGGUUAUAUGAUGAAUGCAUAGACUUGUUGCAACUUAACAUGUGACUCUCAAAUUACUGACUUAUAAAGGGAAGAAGUGGAAACAUCUUCCCACAUCAUUUUAGUGUUAAAUUAAGCAAAAGGUCUCAAUUGGUUUAGCAUCAAACUACAGCAAAUCUACUCAUUCAUUCCGAAGUUAACUUACUCAUCUAUUGGGAUCUAGAGAAAAUAAAGAUGACAAAUAGUAUCAUGUUUACAUAAUAAUUAAAACGAAAGGAAACAAUGAAGAAUUUGGAGCAAGGAACGUUGAUUUAGGAAGAAAAACAAACUAGAGUUUUGAGAUAAAGAUACUUUGACAUUGUUUACAAAAAAUGCAAGUCAAGAGCCUCAUAUAUCUGCUGCUGAUUUACUAUGAAUUCACCAUCUAUUCUUAUCCAUUGGGUAGUUCAUGCCGUUGGCAUUCUACCUCCUGCUUCUCCAUUCACUAAUGAAGUUGUUAUCAUAACUGUUCCACGAUUUUCGAACCUGUUCAAGCAUUAGUCAACUCUUUGUGCCAAAUGAGAGAUGUUUAUAUCACGGGAGAAGUUAAAGAUCAGUGUUCCUUUAUUAAAUUGAUACUUCAAGAGACUGUAUUCCCCUUAUUCUCCCUCUUAUUUUGGUUGAAAAGUAAUGAACCUCAUAUAUUAAUGGUAUAGUUGUUACCAUCUUCAGUUUAUUGAAUAAGUGCUACUCUCAAACUGUUCACCGGAAUUACCUUGGGGGCUAUGUUGCUCGAACUCUUUAAAAAUGGCAACGGGUACAUGUCGAAUUCUCCAAAAGUAGUGUAUCUUUGAAGAAUCCGACACGAGUGUGACUUCUUUUUUUGGAGGGUCCAAGCAACAUAACUGGAGACCAUGAACUUAAGCAAGUGAAAUAUAACAAUCAAAAUCACUGCAACAACACAACAACAACAUAUCCAGUGACAUCCCAAAAUUGGGGUAUGGGGAAUGUAGAGUGUACACAAACCUUACCGAUAACUUGUGGAGACACUUGGCUUAAGUACAACAAAUCCAAGUACAAGAAAGAAGAAAACUGUGGUAAAAACAUAGCAACUAACAAGGGGCACUGCAAAUCCCCAAAAAAGGACCAAAAACAACAAAAUAUCGUGAUGAUGGAAUCACAAUAAACAACUAUGAUGAUAGAUAUCGCAAUCAAGAACUACAAUAACACCGCUAGUACAAUGACAAAACGCCAACAAGCCUAGACUCUCGGAAACCAAGACACCACUCUACUAUCUAUUAACUUUCUACUCUAGGGAGCUUUCUCCACACUUUCCUAUCAAAGGUCAUCGCGCGUUCUCCACACUUUCCUAACUAAGGUCAUGUCCUCGGUAACAUGAAAUUGAGUCAUGUCCGGUCUAAUCAAACUCUCUCCAACACUUCUUCAGUCUCCUACCUCUCUUCAUACCUAUUAUAACCAACAGGAGUCUGUGCAUCACAUCUUCACAUGCCCAAACCAUCUAAAUCAGUAUUACUCAGGUCACCUAAAUGAAUCCUUUAUAUCAAUUCAGAUCCAUAAGAAAAAUAAAAAAUAAAGGUUCAACAAGUUCAUCCUCUACUCCCAAUACAUUAACUGCUAAUUCAUAUGCAAUAACUCAUGCUACAAAAUAGAUAAAUAAACACAUGAAUCAUGGAUUUCUAAUCUAAAACAGAGUCCAUUCGUCAAAUUCAAGAGAGCAGAUGCAGAGGCUUACCCAUUUCCGAAGAGCUUCGUGGCUAAUGCAAAUGAUACAUGAGAAUCAAUCACAUCAGUAUAGAGCACGGAAACAUAUACAGUAACACAGAUGGGAAAAGAGGUCAGGUCAGACUUCAGAGUCACACCAAUUGGAGAAAUAGAUACAAAUCAAAGCGCAGAUAUUCGAAAAAUACAUAUUACGAGUUUGUGCGUGAAUCUAGCAAACAACAACAGUUUUUCUGAUGAAAAGGGUUGUUAGAUUCACGCACAAACGUGAAAUAUGCCUCUUCCUGAUUUUCCAUUUCUGGUCUGCCGAACUUCAGAUAGGAUAAGAAGUUUAGAGAAAAAGGGCCGAUGGAAGCCGGUGUUCGGCAGUCGGCGGCUGGGUUAGUACGGCGGAUACCUAAUGAAGAUGAGUUUGGGGAUGGGAGUCUUCAU